rnacentral:misc_RNA from 1 species
GAUGAAGAACGUAGCGAAAUGCGAUAAGUAAUGUGAAUUGCAGAAUUCAGUGAAUCAUCGAAUCUUUGAACGCACAUUGCGCCCGCCAGCAUUCUGGCGGGCAUGCCUGUUCGAGCGUCAUUUCAACCCUCGAGCCCCCCCGGGGGCCUCGGUGUUGGGGGACGGCACACCAGCCGCCCCCGAAAUGCAGUGGCGACCCCGCCGCAGCCUCCCCUGCGUAGUAGCACACACCUCGCACCGGAGCGCGGAGGCGGUCACGCCGUAAAACGCCCAACUUUCUUAGAGUUGACCUCGGAUCAGGUAGGAAUACCCGCUGAACUUAAGCAUAUCCAAUAAGCGGAGGA